UCAUUUUCUAGUUCUGUAAUAAACCUCUAAACUUUAUGAAGAUAGGGAACAAACGGCCACUUGACGUCCGGUGCUCCUUGAAACAUCACAGCGUACUUGUUGACAUUACCUUCCGCUUGGGAUAUUCUCUGAUUUGAGGAUUGCAUAUACUUUUUGAAGAAUGAGAAAAAUCAUGGCAAUUAUACUCCUAAUGGCGAUGAUGAAUCUUCAUCCGGGAGAAGCCUUCAAACCCGAUYACUCCGACCAUUGCACAUACAAAGGCAAACGCUACGACAUAAAUACUGUGAUYGAAGACGAAACGUGUUCCAAAAUGAUCUGUGACAAAUAUGGAAAAAUWCUUAUCGUGGAUAAAUGUAUGAACAASGAGACGAUACAAGUGUUCGGCGACUAAGGAAAUUUGAAAAUUAAUCCACCUACAAUAUAYCUUGUACCGAAAAAAUCUUGGRAGCUUUUACGUCAUAUAUACCGUAUACGCAAUGCAUUGUAGSAUAUGUUUGGGACAGAACAUGUCGGAUUACUUUUGUUUUCUACAUGAAAAAGUUCCCACAAUGCAUUGAAAAUCAAGUAAGUGACGUAAAAGAUUCGGAGGUCGAUUAUUCAUUUGUAACAUGGGAAUAAAAAACAAAAAAUGCAUAUGAUUA